UUAUGGGUAGAUAUGCUUUAAAUUUCUCAAAAUUUCUGUUUACUUUAUCAAACCCCCUCACGCCGCGCCGCGCGCACCUCUCGAUCAACGCAGUAACGCGUUUUGUAUUACUCCGCCAUUAUUUCAGUCGUUGGGAAGCUUUCUUACGUUGCGCGACUUGCGCUUAAUAUGUGCUUAAAUUUUAUUAAUUAAUACGAUAUUUCGCAUUUAUACUUUUUAAAAUGUUUCAUAAAUUCGAUUUUAAAUAUUAUUACGCUCGAUUAUUCCGUAAUUUCUUCGCGAACGUGUUUGUUUUUGCGGAACUAUGUUUUCAGUUUUUUUGAUCGUGACCGAGCCGUUAACGAUCAUUUUGGCAGUUAGCUUUUCAAGUCUUAUACCUUGCAAGUACGUCUCCGAGUUUUCCGUUAUUAAUUCGAGUUAUUCGCGUAAUUUUAUUAAUAUUUUUGGGUGAUUUUGUGUAGUUCAGUGCCUCGAAGUGAACUAAAGUAUACGAGGUUCGAUUUUGUUCUCUUUGUCGGUGUUUUUGAUUGAAGAAGUGCGUAUUCGUUUGCAACUACGACGGUUUAUUUCUCGCGAAUUUUUUCUCGUAAAUUUCAUCGGAUCUUCUAUAGUUUCCGGUAGUUUUCGACGGCGUUCUUAGUGAUCUUGUGGUAUUCGAUGCGUAAAUACGAUAUGUUUUCCGGCGCCCAGUGGUCUACCAGUUAAAAGCUGUUUCGUAUAAUUAAUGUCCAGAUUUUCUACGGUUAAUCGGUUUGUAUUGUACCGAGUCCCAACUUUACGAUGAAGAAUAUUUUGAGAUCGGAUACUGUCUACUUGAACAUACAAAUUCCAUACAUUUGGAAGUACGAGUGAUUAUGAAAGUUAUUGGAAGUACCUGCUUAUAUAAUUGGUAAAAUUACGAGAAUUAUUUUAAGAAAAAUUCAACGUUCAUUGGUAAGUGAUUUUUUUCAAUUUUUAUAUUCGGACUUGCGAAGGUAUGUGCUUUCUUUUCGUAAUUUGUAAGCAAAAUUAACACCCUUUACCGAUUGCAAAAUAUGCCGA